rnacentral:rRNA from 1 species
GACAGAGGGGGCAAGCGUUGCUCGGAAUUACUGGGCGUAAAGGGCGCGUAGGCGGGAUGGCAAGUCGGUCGUGAAAUCCCUCGGCUCAACUGAGGAUCGUCGAUCGAUACUGCCGUUCUUGAGGAUUGCAGAGGAGACUGGAAUUCCCGGUGUAGCGGUGAAAUGUGUAGAGAUCGGGAGGAAUACCGGUGGCGAAGGCGGCAUCCUGGACCGGCAUUGACGCUGAGGAGCGAAAGCCAGGGGGGCAAACGGG